rnacentral:snoRNA from 1 species
AUGCCCUUUUAAGGUUGACACAGUGUCGUAAGAGGCUAGCACAGAAAGAGAAAGGAAGCCUUUGUAAAACCCGGAGGUGUAGCU